AGGGCACCACCAGGAGUGGAGCCUGCGGCUUAAUUUGACUCAACACGGGAAAACUCACCCGGCCCGGACACUGGAAGGAUUGACAGAUUGAGAGCUCUUUCUUGAUUCAGUGGGUGGUGGUGCAUGGCCGUUCUUAGUUGGUGGAGUGAUUUGUCUGGUUAAUUCCGAUAACGAACGAGACUCUAGCCUACUAAAUAGAUCGUCGGCUUACAAACGCCGGCGAGACUUCUUAGAGGGACAGGCGGUGAUUCAACCGCACGAAACAGAGCAAUAACAGGUCUGUGAUGCCCUUAGAUGUCCGGGGCCGCACGCGCGCUACACUGAAGUGAUCAGCGUGCUUUUUCAACCUACUCUGUCAAGAGUGGGGAACCCAAUGAACCUUCUUCGUGAUUGGGAUAGGGGAUUGUAAUUAUUCCCCUUGAACGAGGAAUUCCCAGUAAGCGCGAGUCAUAAGCUCGCGUUGAUUACGUCCCUGCCCUUUGUACACACCGCCCGUCGCUACUACUGAUUGAAUGUUUU
rnacentral:rRNA from 1 species